GCAACAGUCCUUUUCAGGACUACAAAUCCUUCCCUAAAAGAACUUU
rfam:Anopheles epiroticus strain epiroticus2 unplaced genomic scaffold supercont1.19, whole genome shotgun sequence.